ACUAGUAGUCCCGUCACUCGUACCAGUUGCCUUCAAUUUUGACUCUUUCCUGGUCCUGCUUUACGCCAAACCUUCCAGGUGACGCCGAAGGCAUCUGCACGCACGAUGAGUACCAACCACGUGUCCCACGCUACUCUCUUUCCUCGCUUCUUAAGCAGAUGGUGGUGGGUCCCAGUGGUACCUCUCGUCAGAAACCCACGCGCCUUCUCUCGUCUUCUCGCAGACCCGAGCGGCGCCAGGCUCUCCUCUUCUCCUCGCGAGCGGAUCCAGGUGCCCCCGUCCCGGCCCGCACCGGCCGCCGCCCCAGCCCGCCUCCUCGCGUGCCUAGGCUUGGCCCCCCUGCGUCCACCAUGUACGCCUCCGCGCGCCUUGGACGGGGCCAGAUCCGGCCGGCCGCCCCCGCCUGCCCCCAUCCCCAUGGCGCUGCUAUGCUUCGAGGCCAUGGCGUGCAUCCUGGGUACCAUGGCAUGGAAGCACUCCUCAAAAAUCAAUCGUACAUCACCGUGAAACAAAGAUGAAAUGAGACAACCAAACAAGCCACGGGCUGCUACAAAUGACUCUCAAUAAAGCUGAGAAAGCGAACAUACAUGGUAACUUGGGUUAAAUCAAAAUUAGCUCGACCACGUUUCUUUCUCCCACCUCCAUCCCCAACCAGGCUGCUUUCACCUCCAUUCUUGGCUUCAUCUGCAGAGAGUGAGAGAGGGAGAUGGAGGACAGGAGGAGUGUGCGAAGCCGGUGAGCGUGGAGGUGGCGUGCAGGGGCGGGUCGCGGCGGCACCUAGGCGGCCGGCUGCGGGAUCCACGGCCUCGCCAUGCUCGCCACCGACCACUCCGCCGGCACCGAGUCCAAGCUCGACGUCCUAGCCCAUCUGGAGCCCGAGGAAGAAGAUGAAGCAGCGAGAUUGAGGGCGCGCGCGGUCCAACCAGACGGCCGUGUUGUCGACCUGCUCCACGACGCGCUGGACAACCUGCAGGCCAAGAUCUACGGCAACGGCAAGGCCACGAGGGCACGCGAGCUUGUUUUAUCGCGCGGAGCAGUAACAGCAAGCCAGCAGGCCACAUACUUCUGCAUCUCCAAUUUCUUGAUUCUAUUGCCGUCCGUCUGGUUGGUUUCUCUUGAAUGUAUUUUGAUUUUGCUUAGUUCAACCAGUAGAGUUGCACGUCACUUGUUUGAUGAAAUGACAGGCGCAAGUUGUGUUCGUAAAUUGGAUCAGUUACUGCAGUUUAGAAGUGUAGAGUGUGUGUGUGUGAUUCGAUGCCUUUGAUUGAGCGUUAGAAAACGAGUUGGGCUGAUCUUAUCCUUUGAACU